AGUGAACGCUGGCGGUAGGCCUAACACAUGCAAGUCGAACGGCAGCACAGUAAGAGCUUGCUCUUACGGGUGGCGAGUGGCGGGCGGGUGAGGAAUACAUCGGAAUCUACUUUUUCGUGGGGGAUAACGUAGGGAAACUUACGCUAAUACCGCAUACGACCUACGGGUGAAAGCAGGGGAUCUUCGGACCUUGCGCGAUUGAAUGAGCCGAUGUCGGAUUAGCUAGUUGGAGGGGUAAAGGCCCACCAAGGCGACGAUCCGUAGCUGGUCUGAGAGGAUGAUCAGCCACACUGGAACUGAGACACGGUCCAGACUCCUACGGGAGGCAGCAGUGGGGAAUAUUGGACAAUGGGCGCAAGCCUGAUCCAGCCAUACCGCGUGGGUGAAGAAGGCCUUCGGGUUGUAAAGCCCUUUUGUUGGGAAAGAAAAGCAGCAGGUUAAUACCCCGCUGUUCUGACGGUACCCAAAGAAUAAGCACCGGCUAACUUCGUG
rnacentral:rRNA from 1 species